rnacentral:rRNA from 1 species
GAUCAUGGCUCAGGACGAACGCUGGCGGCGUGCUUAACACAUGCAAGUCGAACGAGAAUCUACUGAAAGAGUUUUCGGACAAUGGAUGUAGAGGAAAGUGGCGGACGGGUGAGUAACGCGUGAGGAACCUGCCUUGAAGAGGGGGACAACAGUUGGAAACGACUGCUAAUACCGCAUAACGCAUAGGGGUCGCAUGAUCUUUAUGCCAAAGAUUUAUUGCUUCAAGAUGGCCUCGCG